GGAAAGAGAGAGACCGGCAGGAGGAGUCCUCGUCAUGACCCAGUCCCUCGCUGUUAUCCUAAAAAGCCCUAUCUUUUGGAGCAGGAAGAGUCCUGGGAAGUCUUCUGGUUCAACCCCAGAGAAAGGUCAUGUCUUCCCCAAAGCGGCGAAUUUUUGUUGCUGAAGUAGAACGGCAAAUAAAGCCCAGAUCUCCAGAUCCCAGCCUACCUUUGUUUCCUCUAUACUAGGCUUCUUUUAAUAUUAACAUUUCUGUGAAUUGCCAUUUAAUUUGAUCAACUCACAAUUACCCAAGCUCAAUUCCAAUGUCCUUUGUUUUAUUUUUAAUUUUUUAUUUAUUUAUCUGUUUAUUUAUUUUUGAGAAAGGUCUCCCUUUGUUGCCCAGGCUGGAAUACAGUGGCACAAUCACAGCUCACUGCAGCCUCUACCUCCUGAGAUCUGGCGACCGUCCGGCUUCAGCCUCCUGAGUAGCUGGGACUACAGGUGCACACCACCGCACCCAGUUAUUAAAUACAUUUUGUUGUUGUUUUGGUACAGAUGGGCGUCUCACCAAACUCCUGGGCUCAAGUGAUCCUCCUGCCUCGACCUCCCAAAGUGCUGGGACUACAGGAGUGAGUUAACGCUCCCAGCAACCCGGCUAAUAUUUUCUAGAGAUGGGCACUCACUAUGUUGGCCCAGGUUGGUCUCAAACUCCUGGGCUCAAGCGAUCUCCAGACCUCAGCCUCCCAAAGGGAUAACAGGUGACCAACCCGGCCCUCCAAUUUCCUUUGACUUCACCAUUCCUCAGGCUCCUGCAGCACCCAUGGGAGCACACUUUGUAGCUUGAAUCACUAGAGACAGCCCUACUUCCAUGAUUCAGAGCUGCAGGCUUUGACCACAACCACCCAUCUCUCACCUCUGCCAUGACCUCGCCUUUCUUGUCUCAAGACCUAGGACCCCUUUUGGUUUUAUCAGACUCCUUACCCAGCCUAAACUACUCAAUUCUGUCCCCUUACCUACCUACCUACCUACAGGUCAGUUCCCAAACCAAUGAUCGUUGCUCCAUUUCCCCCACCUCUUUUUUUCACUCCUGGGCUCUGGAGUAUUGCUGGAAGAAAAAUAACCAGAACAUGUUUGCCAAGCCCUAGAUUCCCUGACUAGCCUCACUACCGGGCUCUAAGGGCAGCUCUGUGAUCCUUUGUCUUUUAUUGACUCCGUCACCCUCAAGAUAACUAUUCAAACUUUUCCACAUUCAUCAAGGCACUCCACCUGUCCCCAUGUCUCUGCUCUCUGCAGAACGCCUUUCAUUCCUGCUUUAUGAGAUUGAGGCCAUGCAUGUGAACCCUUUAAGUUUUCCCUCUGUCUGUCUCUAUACUUGAUUCAUCGCUCAAAAAUUUCUCUCCACUUUUACUCCUUCUUUUUUUUUUUUUUUUUUUUUUUUUGAGACGGAGUCUUGCACUGUUGCCGGGUUGGAGUGCAGUGGCUUGAUCUCAGCUCACUGCAACCUCUGCCUCCCUGGUUCAAGCGAUUCUCCUGCCUCAGCCUCCCUAGAAGCUGGGAUUACAGGCAUGAGCUACCACACCCAGCUAAUUUUUGUAUUUUUAGUAGAGACGGGGUUUCACCAUGUUGGUCAGGCUGGUCUCAAACUCCUGACCUCAAGUGAUCCGCCCACCUCGGCCUCCCAAAGUGCUGGGAUUACCAACCGCAUCCAGCCUACUCCUUCCUUUUGGACUCAGAAGAAGUGUUGCACCCUUUGGCAUAUGUUCUUGCCUCCCCUUUUCAACUUCCUCCAGGACUUCUCUAUCAUCUUCCCUCUCGCCCUUGCCCUUAGCUCCUCUCCCAUAUACUAUAAAUAUGCACAGGUCUUCCUUAAUUAAAAAUAUGUAAACCCUUGGCCAGGCUUGGUGGCUCAUGCCUGUAAUCUCAGCACUUUGGGAGGCCGAGGCAGGUGGAUCACGUGAAGUCAGGAGUUGUUCAAGAUCAGCCUGGCCAGCAUGGUGAAACCCCGUCUCUACUAAAAAAUACAAAAAAAUAGCCGGGCGU
rnacentral:lncRNA from 10 species